AUUGAUCGUUUAGCAAACCCCAAGAUUCUUUCUUCUUCCCAUGGGUUUCCUCUCUGUCUCCAAAAUAAAUUGUAAUGUGAAACCAAAGAGAAAUAUAGAAAUUAAAUUAAAGGUUCAGCGAAAAAUGGUUUCAAUUGAAAAUCAAAGUCAGAGAGUUUCAGAAUUGGAUAUUAGACCUGGAGGAAUGUUGGUUCAAAAGAGGGAUUUUAAUUCAAAUCCUUCCUUCCCCACCAUUAAAGUUAAGGUCAAAUUUGGCUCUUCUUAUCAUCAUAUUCAAAUCAACUCCCAUGCAAGCUUUGGUGAAUUGAAGAAGUUGUUGGCAGAGCCAACAGGGUUGCACCCAGAAGAGCAAAAGCUAAUAUACAAAAACAAAGAGAGGAAUUCAAAAGCUUAUCUAGAUGUGGCAAGAGUUCAAAAUGGCUCAAAAAUUGUGUUGGUUGAAGACAUUUUAAGCAAGGAAAGAAGAUGCCUUGAAAUUCUUAAAAAUCAAAAGUUUCAAAUAUCCUCCAACUUCCUAAAAGAAAUAAACUUGGAAGUCAAUAAACUCUUUCAAGAGGUUGGAUCCGUUCAUUUGAAAGCUUGUAAAGAUGGGAGAGUUUAUGAAAAAGAAGUGGAUGAUUUGAUUGAAUUACUUAUGAGAAAAUUGAUACAAUUAGAUGAAAUUGAAGUCGUGGGAGAUUUGAGACUACAAAGAAGACAACAGGUCUCGGUUUUCGUGGCCUAAAAUGCAUGAUAUAAGGCCUAACUGCCACUAAUUAGGUCUUGGUUUGAGUUCGUGAGUUGAUUAUCGAGGACUCGGGAAAUCUUCAAAGGCAGCUUGCUGCCGUGCGCUCCACCUGGCCCAAGUUUAUCUCUUAGCCCGUUCCAUUCCGUCCAACCGACCGACGAUCACAUACCCGCUCGGCUUUCUCCCAUUCACACGUGUCUGUGACUCGACCCAGGCCAACUGCGACCCAAUCGUUUCGUGCAUCAUUUCACUUGCGCGCCUGCGUAUUUUGGCUUACCCAACCAGAAGCCCCACCCUACUCUUUUGCUUUGUUGACCCGUGACCUGCUACCUGUUUUCGUGGAUUGGCCGGUUCCAGCCCAUUUAUUGAGUUUUGGGUCAAUUUAACGUAUUUUUUUAUGGUUUUUCAGUCAGUUCGAAUGGUUCUAAAGCGAUUUUGUACUAAGUCAAAUUAUUAUUGUAAUAAUUUAGUUCUUAGCUUAAUUUAUUGGUGAAAACCAAUAUAUUUCAGAGUGUUUUUUUAA